rnacentral:rRNA from 1 species
GAUGAACGCUGGCGGCGUGCCUAAUACAUGCAAGUCGAGCGAACAGAUAAGGAGCUUGCUCCUUUGACGUUAGCGGCGGACGGGUGAGUAACACGUGGGUAACCUACCUAUAAGACUGGAAUAACUCCGGGAAACCGGGGCUAAUGCCGGAUAACAUGUUGAACCGCAUGGUUCUACAGUGAAAGGCGGCUUUGCUGUCACUUAUAGAUGGACCCGCGCCGUAUUAGCUAGUUGGUGAGGUAACGGCUCACCAAGGCAACGAUACGUAGCCGACCUGAGAGGGUGAUCGGCCACACUGGAACUGAGACACGGUCCAGACUCCUACGGGAGGCAGCAGUAUGGAAUCUUCCGCAAUGGGCGAAAGCCUGACGGAGCAACGCCGCGUGAGUGAUGAAGGUCUUCGGAUCGUAAAACUCUGUUAUUAGGGAAGAACAAAUGCGUAAGUAACUGUGCGCGUCUUGACGGUACCUAAUCAGAAAGCCACGGCUAACUACGUG